rnacentral:rRNA from 1 species
AGUGAACGCUGGCGGCAGGCCUAACACAUGCAAGUCGAGCGGCAGCGGGUCCUUCGGGCUGCCGGCGAGCGGCGGACGGGUGAGGAAUACAUCGGAAUCUGCCCUGUCGUGGGGGAUAACCUAGGGAAACUUAGGCUAAUACCGCAUACGACCUACGGGUGAAAGCGGGGGAUCGCAAGACCUCGCGCGACAGGAUGAGCCGAUGUCCGAUUAGCUAGUUGGCGGGGUAAAGGCCCACCAAGGCGACGAUCGGUAGCUGGUCUGAGAGGAUGAUCAGCCACACUGGGACUGAGACACGGCCCAGACUCCUACGGGAGGCAGCAGUGGGGAAUAUUGGACAAUGGGCGCAAGCCCGAUCCAGCCAUGCCGCGUGGGUGAAGAAGGCCUUCGGGUUGUAAAGCCCUUUUGUCCGGGAAGAAAUCGUCUGGGCUAAUACCCCGGGCGGAUGACGGUACCGGAAGAAUAAGCACCGGCUAACUUCGUG